UGUUCUUUCAAUAUUUUUUAAAUAAUUGCACAUUUUCGCCAACUUUAAUGGGACAGUAGUUCUGCUGGUUUAUAAUCAACGGGUUGAAUUUUCGUACAUAAAGUGGACAUUUUAUUUAUGCAAAAAUCUUUUAAUUUUUCGGUAUAUGUUUUUACGAUUUUUGGAGAGUAGGUUUGAUAAUUUUGAUACAAUAACCAGGCAGAACAUGAAGAUCGUCCGUUCUGUUUUUUGCAAUAUAAGCUCAAUAAACUGAAAAGGACCUCAAUUCACAACUCCGUACUAAAGAGGCUUUGUGUCGCAAUAGUAAAAUUGUCGGGUUCGCCGAGAACUUUACCACGUUUGCCGUUUUGUUCGCAAGUAACCUGGGCGCCGUGAGAGGAUUGGGAUCUUCACGAGUGCGUGAUUGCCGAAAUUUAGAUAAAAUAGAACAGUUGUGUUUGGAGAAGCAAUCCAAGUCUUUUGUGUCAGGUGUUAUCAGUUACCCAGUGAGUUGAAGUCGAGUCAUAAUAAGCAAGGAUUUCAACGUCACCGAGGAAUGCUGCUGGAAAUCAUCACUCAUCGGAUAAGGUGACUCUCCAACGAGAUGGCCCACGUUUCAGAACUUGGCAGACGGAAAUGCGGGUAGUGAUUCGGAGAAAGCUGUGCCAGGAGUUUCAGAUAAGUCAACAGACUAUACCGCACCAUCUUCAGAAUCACUUUCAAU